AGUCUUCCACUAGCAGCCUUUGGAUGAAGAUGUAGAACUCUCAGCUCCUCCUGCACCAUGACAGCCUGGAUGCUGCCAUGCUCCCACCUUGAUGGUAAUGGCCUGAACCUCUGAACCUGUAAGCCAGCCCCAAUUAAAUGUUGUUUUUGAUAAGACUUGCCUUGGUCAUGGUGUCUCUUCACAGCAAUGGAAACCCUAACUAAGACAGAGUGGCCUGUGGGUUCCCAGGGACUGCCUGCCAGAGUUGGGGGCUGGGAUAAAGCAAGCAGUGGAGGGAAGGAAGUUAAGGGGAAGAUCUCUGUGGUAAUUAGGGCUCAUUAGACUCUGAAACUGAAUCCAAAAUCUUCCGUGUAGUACUGUAGCACGUCAGGGGCUCUGAUGAAGGAAGGGCUUGAUAAAUACGGAUUGUGCGUGCCACUUAAAGCUUGUAUGGAACGCUACUACUAGCAACCAUAAAGUUAUCUCGUUGCUUCUUCAUAACUGUAAUUUUGCUACUGUUAUGCACUGCAAUGUAAAUAUCUAAUAUACAGGAUAUUUGCUAUGCUACUUCUGUGGGGGUCAAGACCCACAGGUUGAGGACCACAGAUCUAGAGCCUUUUGUAUACAAAGCAAGCAUGGCACUACUGAGCUGAAUCCUCAGCUCUAGACUUGGCUUUGGCUUGAACAUAUUCAUCAUUUGUUUGAUUGAUUGUUUGUUUGUUUGUUUGCUCUAGGACUGGUUGUUCUAUUUCUGAGAUCUCUGAGACCCAGCCCACCAGGAACACACAAAUGUGGAACCGAGAUAGGCUGAGGACUUAUUAAACAGAAUUCUGCUGUUCCUAUCCCAGGGUUGGACCAAUGUGUAGAAAAUUGCUUAUGGGAUUCUUUGAAUGACUUUUUCAUUGCGGGAAAUAUUAAAAAUGAACCUGCCAACCUUCCACACUCCUGCUUCUUUCAAGCCACCAACUCAAGAGAUCUGUCUCUGCCUCCUACGUGCUGGAAUCAAAGGUAUGUGACACCAUGCCUUGCUUGUCUUUUUAUGGACACUGAUUUUUAUCUACUUUUGAUAGCUGCUGAGGUAGGU
rnacentral:lncRNA from 1 species